CAGAGGUGUAAGUGUAGAGAGACAUGCAUGCUAGAAGUCUUUCAUCAAGCUCAAACCCUGGGUGCAAGUGUCUGGCUAUGUCAUGUAACAAGAUCUCGCAAGCAGAAUAUCUCAUGUUAUUUUCACCGAGAGCAGCCAGCUCGCUUCCAAGCCAUGCAGCACAUACAAGGCAAUCAUGCGAGGAUCAACCCAGUCGAUAUUUCUGAUCAUAUUUCUGUGAGAUGUUGAUGUGAGUCCUGCUUUCUUUGCGAGCCAUGCAGCAGUAUAUGAUUCCCCUGACCAGGAAUAAGUUCCUCCUAGAUUACAAAGGAAAGAUGCUGCUAAUGCCUGAACGGUGCAGUUUUCUUGGGAUGAUAGGGAAUCCAACAGGACUUCCAUUGCUUCAUCCCUGAAUACACUUUUACCAUCUGGUUUGUCCUACAGGAGCAGAUCAUUUUUUAGAUAAUGUGAGAUCAUUCCUUUAUCUAAAAUGAUAAUGUGAGAUCACUGCAAUGCUGUGUUUGUUGAA
rnacentral:sRNA from 1 species